rnacentral:rRNA from 1 species
UACGAAGGGGGCUAGCGUUGUUCGGAAUUACUGGGCGUAAAGCGUGCGCAGGCGGCUUCUCGAGUCAGGGGUGAAAGCCCAGAGCUCAACUCUGGAAUUGCCUUUGAGACUGAGUGGCUUGAGUACGAGAGAGGUGAGUGGAAUUCCCAGUGUAGAGGUGAAAUUCGUAGAUAUUGGGAAGAACACCCGUGGCGAAGGCGGCUCUCUGGGACGGUACUGACGCUGAGACGCGAAAGCGUGGGGAGCGAACAGG